AUGGGGUGAGUUUACGUUACUUGCUCGUGCUAGUUUUAGAGAAAACUGCUGUGGAAAACUCGGCUUGAAGCUAGCAAGUGUCAAGUGAAUCAACAACAUCACCAAAAACGUAUUUUCAAGCCAGCGGGGGAAGAACGGCAGUGGCAGAACAUCAACAGACGAAAAAGCAUAAACUCUCUCUGAUUGCCCGUGUUGGUAUGCCCUCUGUCACCACAUUCUUCAAGAAGGUAGAGCCUUCCCAAAAACGGCUUGAUUUUGUUGAAUUGAAAGGAGAAACAGCAGAGGAAAUUGCAGCUGAGGUCCUGGUGGUCAUCGAAAAAUUUUACCUGGAAAACAGAGUCGUUGCAUUCUCUGCCGACAACACAAAAACCAACUUUGGAGGACUGAAUAGGCUGGGGAGUGUCAAUGUCCAUACCAAAGUGAAAAAUCCUCUGCAGCGGGAGGUGAUUGGCUUAGGUUGUCCUUCCCACAUCAUUGAUAACACGGCCAGAACAUCUUUGGAUAUGAUUCCCCUUGAUGUUGAGUAACUGCUCACAAAGAUAUUUGGAUAUUUAAAAUUUUCACUGUCAGAGUAGAAAGACUAAAGAGCUUUUGUGAGUUUGUUGGCCAGGAGUACCAUAACAUUUUAGGACACAGCAAUGUUCACUGGUUGUCCAUGCUCCCUGCUCUAGAAAGAGUGCUGAAAAUGUAUGUGUCAUUGAAAUCCUUUUUUCUUUCUGAAGACAAAUGCCCUGUUGUCCUGCAAACAAUGUUUGAAGAUCCACUGACUGAACUUUGGCUGGUCUUUGUCCAUGGAAACCUGACCGUAUUCAGUGACACGAUCAUGAUGCUUGAAGGCCAGGACCGCUGUGCUGUGGAGUCAGCUGCAAUUCUGAGAAACGUUGAGGCAAAAUUGACUGCAAGACGCGAUGACAACUUCAUUCCAGUUUUGGUCAGAGGACUUCUGAGAGAGCAAGAGGAAAAUGGAGAAAUGUCUAAAGAGAGCUUUCUCAAAACAUCCAAAUCCUUCUUCACUACGACUGUGAACUACUUGCAAGCAUGGGGAAAGCACACAGAUAAUCUAAAAGAUUUACAUUGUCUCCUUUUAAAAAGGCAACCUCAGCGUGAAGAGAUCCAGAAGGCAGCAGCCACACUGCAGAAAAAUGCCCCAAUGUGACCAUCAAUGAGGGUACAUUGUUUGACGAGGUUACUGGCCUGCAAGAAUUCCUAAAGGAGGGAUCGCUGAAGAAUGGAAAACAUCUGAGACAGUAGUCAGAGAUGGAGCACGGUUGUUACCCACUUCAAAGAGAACGACAUCCCACACACUAGCCUGGCUAGAUUAGUGUCUGUUGUCAUGUGCUUACCUUGAUGUUAUGCACAAGUCGAGAGGGUGUUCUCCCAAAUGAAUGAUAUAUGGACAGCAGCAAGAAAUAGGUUCACUGUUCCUACCAUCAAGCCCAUGCUUAUUGUGAAGACAAACGUCAGCCUCCCCUGCCAGGAGUUCAUGGAGAACCUGGCCAAAGACCGAGUAAUCCUGAAGAAAAUACAUUCUUCUGAGAAAUAUCCAGAUUAGACUACCAGGACCACUGAAUGGCUGUUCAGAUCGGACAGUUCUGUCUUGCCUGCAGUGUUUCUGUAAUAUAGUUGUUUUCUCUGACGUUUUGGAUCCUUCGUUGCUGCGGGAGUUCCACCGUCUCCAUCCGGAUCGCCCUGCGCCUUGUCCUCCGGGUCAUCCCCGAGGUCGGUGUU